AUGUGAAUUAGCUAGUUCCAAAUGUUUUGGCUAGCAGAGUGAGAAGAAGGGAGGCCUGGCUUGUGGCUCUCUAAACUGUCUGUUUACAGAGUUGUGGGUUCCUGCUCCCUUUGGUCACGCACUGACUCAGCUGGAGGCUUGGGGAGUGCUCCUGUCCCAGCACCACCCCAUGGCUUGCUCCUUCCGAGAACACCUGAGCUGCCUCUCAUGCUCCCUGGGAUUCCUGUCAGGCAGAAAAGAAGACUGAGCCCAGCUCUUCUUCAUGAACUGUUGGACUACUGACUAAAUUAAGGUCAAUACAAGCAACUUCAGAGGAAGUCACUGCCUGGUUAUAAGGCUACGGCUUUGGACUGCAGAGGACAGACUGUGCGAGCAAAGCAAGAACACUCUGGGCCAUCAACAAGCAGAGGAUAGCUCUUGAAUAUCACAGGGGAUAUCCACCCGAUGGCGUGUGGUCCCUUUACCCUGGGGACUGGAGAUCCCUGAGGGAACCUGGGGCUCAGCUGCAAACCCUCGCAGAGCAUGGAGGGCUCAUUGAAGAGGACCAACCAGCCAACACACUGCCCGUGAAGCACAGCCAGGUAGCUGAGGUGAGGGGAGCGGGACUGCAGCCGUGCUGAAGCAGGUGCACUGGGAGCAGGAGGCUGAGGCUAAGGGACUUCUUUGCUGUCAUGCUUGAAAUUUGUGUGUCCUGCAUCUGCCCUUGAAAAGCACCAUCUGCCUCGGUGACAAAGAU
rnacentral:lncRNA from 1 species